rnacentral:rRNA from 1 species
UGAGGCAUGGCGGCUGCUUAACAUGCAAGUCGAACGGCAGCACGGGGGCAACCCUGGUGGCGAGUGGCGAACGGGUGAGUAAUACAUCGGAACGUGUCCUGUAGUGGGGGAUAGCCCGGCGAAAGCCGGAUUAAUACCGCAUACGCUCUACGGAGGAAAGGGGGGGAUCUCAGGACCUCCCGCUACAGGGGCGGCCGAUGGCAGAUUAGCUAGUUGGUGGGGUAAAGGCCUACCAAGGCGACGAUCUGUAGCUGGUCUGAGAGGACGACCAGCCACACUGGGACUGAGACACGGCCCAGACUCCUACGGGAGGCAGCAGUGGGGAAUUUUGGACAAUGGGCGAAAGCCUGAUCCAGCAAUGCCGCGUGUGUGAAGAAGGCCUUCGGGUUGUAAAGCACUUUUGUCCGGAAAGAAAACCUCCGCCCUAAUAUGGUGGGGGGAUGACGGUACCGGAAGAAUAAGCACCGGCUAACUACGUGCCAGCAGCCGCGGUAAUACGUAGGGUGCAAGCGUUAAUCGGAAUUACUGGGCGUAAAGCGUGCGCAGGCGGUCCGCUAAGACAGAUGUGAAAUCCCCGGGCUUAACCUGGGAACUGCAUUUGUGACUGGCGGGCUAGAGUAUGGCAGAGGGGGGUAGAAUUCCACGUGUAGCAGUGAAAUGCGUAGAGAUGUGGAGGAAUACCGAUGGCGAAGGCAGCCCCCUGGGCCAAUACUGACGCUCAUGCACGAAAGCGUGGGGAGCAAACAGGAUUAGAUACCCUGGUAGUCCACGCCCUAAACGAUGUCAACUAGUUGUUGGGGAUUCAUUUCCUUAGUAACGUAGCUAACGCGUGAAGUUGACCGCCUGGGGAGUACGGUCGCAAGAUUAAAACUCAAAGGAAUUGACGGGGACCCGCACAAGCGGUGGAUGAUGUGGAUUAAUUCGAUGCAACGCGAAAAACCUUACCUACCCUUGACAUGUAUGGGAAUUCUGCUGAGAGGUGGGGGGUGCCCGAAGGGAGCCAUAACACA